rnacentral:rRNA from 1 species
UACGGAGGGUGCAAGCGUUAUCCGGAUUCACUGGGUUUAAAGGGUGCGUAGGUGGGCAGGUAAGUCCGUGGUGAAAUCUCUGAGCUUAACUCAGAAACUGCCGUGGAUACUAUUUGUCUUGAAUGUUGUGGAGGUGAGCGGAGUAUGUCAUGUAGCGGUGAAAUGCUUAGAUAUGACAUAGAACACCAAAUUGCGAAGGCAGCUCACUACACAAUUAUUGACGCUGAGGCACGAAAGCGUGGGGGAUCAAACAGG